AUUGAACGCUGGCGGAAUGCUUUACACAUGCAAGUCGAACGAUGAAGCCUAGCUUGCUAGGUCGAUUAGUAGCGAACGGGUGAGUAAUGUAUCGGAACGUAUCCAAUAAUGGGGGAUAACUAGUCGAAAGAUUGGCUAAUACCGCAUACGUCCUACGGGAGAAAGCUGGGGAUCGUAAGACCUGGCGUUAAUGGAGCGGCCGAUAUCUGAUUAGCUAGUUGGUGAGGUAAAGGCUCACCAAGGCGACGAUCAGUAGCUGGUCUGAGAGGACGACCAGCCACACUGGAACUGAGACACGGUCCAGACUCCUACGGGAGGCAGCAGUGGGGAAUUUUGGACAAUGGGCGAAAGCCUGAUCCAGCCAUUCCGCGUGAGUGAAGAAGGCCUUCGGGUUGUAAAGCUCUUUCGCAAGGGAAGAACACUUACUUAAUAACACUAAGUGAGGUUGACGGUACCUUGAUAAGAAGCACCGGCUAACUACGUGCCAGCAGCCGCGGUAAAAC
rnacentral:rRNA from 1 species